rnacentral:rRNA from 1 species
CCUACGGGAGGCAGCAGUAGGGAAUAUUGCACAAUGGGCGAAAGCCUGAUGCAGCAACGCCGCGUGCGCGAUGAAGGCCUUCGGGUCGUAAAGCUCUGUUGUUAGGGAAGAACAAGUGCCGGAGUAACUGCCGGUACCUUGACGGUACCUAACCAGAAAGCCACGGCUAACUACGUGCCAGCAGCCGCGGUAAAACGUAGGAGCCUAGCGUUAUCCGAAUUUACUGGGCGUAAAGCGCGUGCAGGCGGUUCGGUAAGUUGGGUGUGAAAUCUCCUGGCUCAACUAGGAGAGGUCGCUCAAUACUGUCGAACUAGAGGAUGGUAGAGGGAGGUGGAAUUCCCGGUGUAGUGGUGAAAUGCGUAGAUAUCGGGAGGAAUACCAGUGGCGAAGGCGGCCUCCUGGGCCAUACCUGACGCUCAGACGCGAAAGCUAGGGGAGCAAACGGGAUUAGAAACCCCGGUAGUCCUAGCAGUAAACGAUGUGGACUUGGCGUUGGUGGGGUAAAAUCCAUCAGUGCCGGAGCUAACGCGGUAAGUCCACCGCCUGGGGACUACGGCCGCAAGGUUAAAACUUAAAGGAAUUGACGG